GGUUAAAAAGCUCGUAGUUGGAUCUCGGCGGUCUGAGGGCGGUUCGCUUGAUUGAGUGCUACUGCUCUAUAGGCCGUGGUUUUGCCAGAGGUCUCGGGGUGCUCUUAACCGAGUGUCCUGCGAUGCUGGCAGGUUUACUUUGAAAAAAUUAGAGUGCUCAAAGCAGGCUUUUACGCCUGAAUAUUCGUGCAUGGAAUAAUAGAAUAGGAAGUCGUUUCUAUUUUGUUGGUUUUCGGAAAUCGACUUAAUGAUUAAUAGGGACAGUCGGGGGCAUUUGUAUUCAAACGACAGAGGUGAAAUUCUUGGACCGUUUGGAGACAAACUACUGCGAAAGCAUUUGCCAAGUAUGUUUUCAUUAAUCAAGAACGAAAGUUAGAGGUUCGAAGGCGAUUAGAUACCGCCCUAGUUCUAACCAUAAACGAUGCCAGCUAGCGAUCUGCCGACGUUUUCUUUGUAGACUCGGCAGGAAGCUUCCGGGAAACCAAAGCAUUUGGGUUCCAGGGGAAGUAUGGUUGCAAAGCUGAAACUUAAAGGAAUUGACGGAAGGGCACCACCAGGAGUGGAGCCUGUGGCUUAAUUUGACUCAACACGGGAAAUCUCACCAGGCCCGGACACUGGAAGGAUUGACAGAUUGAUAGCUC
rnacentral:rRNA from 1 species